UACAGAGGGUGCGAGCGUUAAUCGGAAUUACUGGGCGUAAAGCGCACGUAGGUGGCGACGUAAGUCGGGUGUGAAAGCCCCGGGCUCAACCUGGGAAUUGCAUUCGAGACUGCAUUGCUGGAGUACGGAAGAGGAAGGCGGAAUUCCCGGUGUAGCGGUGAAAUGCGUAGAUAUCGGGAGGAACAUCAGUGGCGAAGGCGGCCUUCUGGACGGAUACUGACGCUGAGACGCGAAAGCGUGGGUAGCAAACAGG
rnacentral:rRNA from 1 species